rnacentral:rRNA from 1 species
AUACGGAGGAUCCGAGCGUUAUCCGGAUUUAUUGGGUUUAAAGGGAGCGUAGGCGGACGCUUAAGUCAGUUGUGAAAGUUUGCGGCUCAACCGUAAAAUUGCAGUUGAUACUGGGUGUCUUGAGUGCAGCAGAGGUAGGCGGAAUUCGUGGUGUAGCGGUGAAAUGCUUAGAUAUCACGAAGAACUCCGAUUGCGAAGGCAGCUUACUGGACUGUAACUGACGCUGAUGCUCGAAAGUGUGGGUAUCAAACAGGAUUAGAUACCCUGGUAGUCCACACAGUAAACGAUGAAUACUCGCUGUUUGCGAUAUACAGUAAGCGGCCAAGCGAAAGCAUUAAGUAUUCCACCUGGGGAGUACGCCGGCAACGGUGAAACUUAAAGGAAUUGACGGGG